rnacentral:rRNA from 1 species
AUGCAUGUCUAAGUGGAGUAUUAUAUAGCGAAACUGCGAACGGCUCAUUACAACAGAUAUAAUUUACUAGUUCUUGUUUCUAUAUGGAUAACUGCGGUAAUUCUGGAGCCAAUACAUGCAUCAAGCCCUGGCCGUCCGGUUAGGGUGCAAUUAUUGGAGCAAAACCAGUCUCGUACUGUUUGCUAACUCAGGAUAAUUCUGCAUAUCGCAUGGUCUUGUACCGGCGAAGUUUCUUUCAAGUAUCUGCUUUAUCAACUAUCGUUGGUAGUUUAUUGGUCUACCAUGGUGUUGACGGGUAACGGAGAAUCAGGGUUUGACUCCGGAGAGGGAGCCUUAGAAACGGCUACCAUGUCUAAGGAUAGCAGCAGGCGCGAAAAUUACCCAAUAUCAAAACGAUGAGGUAGUGACGAGAAAUAACAAGAUCGUUCUCUUUGAGAUCGAUUAUUGGAAUGAGUACAAUCCAGAAAUUUUAACGAGUACCUACGAGAGGGCAAGUCUGGUGCCAGCAGCCGCGGUAAUUCCAGCUCUCGUAAUGUAUAGAAUUAUUGUUGCGAUUAAAAAGUUCGUAGUUGGAUUGCAACGCAGGUAUGGGUCCACCCUCUGGGUGCGUACUCAAUGCUUGCAUUUUGCAUGUUUUUGUGGCGUCGCUUCGGUGGCGUUCAUGAUGCAUGCAGGAUUACUUUGAACGGCUCAAGUGCUUAAAGCAAGUCUUAUGACUGAAUACCGGUGCAUGGAAUAAUGGAACAAGGUUGUGGCUGAGUUUUAUUGGUUUUGUCGGCUAAAACAAUGGUUAACAGGAACAGCCGGGGGCAUUCGUAUCGCUGCGCGAGAGGUGAAAUUCGUGGACCGUAGCGAGACGUCCUACAGCGAAGGCAUUUGCCAAGAGUGUUUUCAUUAAUCAAGAACGAAAGUCAGAGGUUCGAAGGCGAUUAGAUACCGCUCUAGUUCUGACCGUAAACGAUGCCAACUGUCGAUCCGCUUGUGGAUUUUAUUCAUGAGCGGGGAGAUUUCCGGAAACGAAAGUUUUUCGGUUUCGGGGGAAGUAUGGUUGCAAAGCUGAAACUUAAAGGAAUUGACGGAAGGGCACCACCAGGAGUGGAGCUUGCGGCUUAAUUUGACUCAACACGGGAAAUCUCACCCGGCCAGUACAUCGUAAGGAUUGACAGACUGACAGCUCUUUCAUGAUUCGGUGAAUGGUGGUGCAUGGCCGUUCUUAGUUCGUGGAUUGAUUUGUCUGGUUUAUUCCGAUAACGAACGAGACUUUAACUAUUAAAUAGUGCGCAUGUUGCUUCGGCUGCGUGUGAUCACUUCUUAAAGGAAUUUGUGGUUUUCAACCUCAAGAAAUUGAGCAAUAACAGGUCUGUGAUGCCCUUAGAUGUUCGGGGCCGCACGCGUGCUACAAUGGUGGUAACAGCGUGAUUGUCCUUUUCCGACAGGAAUUGGCAAACAGUUGAGAUAUUAUUAUGGCUGGAAUUGAGUGUUGAAAUUUUCUCUCAUGAACGAGGAAUUCCAAGUAAAUGUGAGUCAUUAACUUGCAUUGAUUACGUCCCUGCCCUUUGUACACACCGCCCGUCGCUGCCCGGGACUGAGUUACUUCGAGAAAACUAGGGAUCGCUGGAGUUCGAUGUUUCGGCAUUGUCUUUGGUGAGAACUAGUUUAAUCGCAGUGGCUUGAACCGGGCAAAAGUCGUAACAAGGUAGCCGUAG